rfam:Rattus norvegicus chromosome 10, whole genome shotgun sequence.
GGGGGUUUAGCUCAGUGGUAGAGCGCUUGCCUAGGAAGCGCAAGGCCCUGGGUUCGGUCCCCAGCUCCA